UACAGAGGGUCCCAAGCGUUGUUCGGAUUCACUGGGCGUAAAGGGUGCGUAGGUGGUCAGGUAAGUCGGAUGUGGAAAUCUCCGAGCUCAACUCGGAAACUGCAUUGGAAACUACCUGGCUCGAGGGUUGGAGGGGGGACUGGAAUGCUUGGUGUAGCAGUGAAAUGCGUAGAUAUCAAGCGGAACACCAGUGGCGAAGGCGAGUCCCUGGACAACUCCUGACACUGAUGCACGAAAGCUAGGGGAGCAAACAGG
rnacentral:rRNA from 1 species